ACUUCACCCACUAAUUUUCACUCUACUAUCACCUUCUCCAUUCCUCAUUCUAAACUCAAUUCUUCUAUGAGAUUUAAUUAAAUUAUAUUUUUAUGUUUUGGGGGAGUAUACCUCUUUCCAGUGAGUUCUUCCCGUACUACCUUUGUUCUUUUUUUGGGAUCUCUUACUUGCUUGUAGCAUGUCAAAUUUGGCCCAAAAGGGUUUCGAAUUUGGACAUUCGACUUACGCAUUGGUACCUGUGUUUUUUGGCUUUUGCAGUUUGUUGUUUCUCGCUUCAGUGGGUUGGUGAUGGACUUAUAGCAGGAUCCUCAGCUUAUGCAGAUGCUGAAGUUGGUGCUUGUGGAGCUACAAGGAAUGGUGGUAUCUUGAUGUGCUUCCAUCCGUGGUGCAUUUCUGUAUCAAAAAUUCUUGUCUAUUGGUUGAUGCAUUUGAAAUUUUCUCGCAAGUAACAAGGUUCUCAUCAUGAGAUCAUAUUAAAUAAACUGGUUUUGCUUAGAAGCUCAAUUGCUUGGGUGUUGAUUUAUUCUACUUUCCACAAAGCAGAGAUAUUCAAAAAAGCUGCCAAAAACGAGGAUGGUGUUGUUAGUUUGGAUGAGUUAGCCACACUUCUAAAUAUACAAGAAGAUUUUCAGCUACAGAGCAGAGCAGCUACUCAUGCUAUAUCCAAACUAGAUUCUUCUCAGAAAUUAAUGCAAAUAGAAUCAAAUAGGCGAAGUGAUCAAUCAAUUUUCCAAUUUCUCAAUCUAUCCGGUAGAAGAUUUACCGUUAUACACUGUAAUGUUAGGUUACCCUAUGGGAGGUGUCAUUUGGUUUAACAUGUACUAGUACAUUCUUAUGGUUUUGCAAAAAUUUUGGAGAAAAAUGGUUACAUCUAUGUUAAAAAUGUAUGUAAUAUUUUUUGUUGUUUGA